CUUUGGUAGCUGGCCGAUAUUUUUUUUUUUCCACAGUACUGCUAACUAUCUUGCACGAUAAACUUAUUUUAAAAGUUACUCAUUUUUAAUAAUGUUUUAACUUGUUCAUGCCUAACAGUCGCGUUGUUCUCCAGCCGGUCCACCUUACCGUGGUAGGCAUUUUUCUAAAAACGGGUCUAUCUUGUAGGAAGGCUGCAGCCAAACCCUGUGUCAGGAAUUUAAGACAGUUACCAUCUCAUGCUUUAGUAUCAGCAUAAACCUGUGACGCAGCUUUACUGGGUCUUUAAAGGUGCGCGUGGUAGCAUUUGUUAGCACUCAUCACUCACUAGAGGGAGAGAAAGAUGGCAGCUACUUUGGCCAGCCUGUUGGACAAUGAUUCCGAAUACAAGAAAGCCUUCCAGGUUUUCUUGGAGAGCUCCACAGAACACAAGAGCGUGAAGGCUUUCCUUAAUGGUCCUCUCCCUGCCAUACUGGCCAGUAUCGGAGAAGGGAAAACUACUUUCAAUAUGAUGGGAGUGGGAAGUGGUACAGGUGAGCUCGACUUGGAGAUCCUUCGCCAGCUCCAGUUACAGCACCCAGGAGCAAAAGUGGAUAAUGAGGUGGUGGAAACCCAGCAG